AGAGUUUGAUCAUGGCUCAGAUUGAACGCUGGCGGCAUGCCUUACACAUGCAAGUCGAACGGCAGCGCGGGGCAACCUGGCGGCGAGUGGCGAACGGGUGAGUAAUAUAUCGGAACGUACCCUGGAGUGGGGGAUAACGUAGCGAAAGUUACGCUAAUACCGCAUACGAUCUAAGGAUGAAAGUGGGGGAUUCGCAAGAACCUCAUGCUCCUGGAGCGGCCGAUAUCUGAUUAGCUAGUUGGUGGGGUAAAGGCCUACCAAGGCAUCGAUCAGUAGCUGGUCUGAGAGGACGACCAGCCACACUGGAACUGAGACACGGUCCAGACUCCUACGGGAGGCAGCAGUGGGGAAUUUUGGACAAUGGGCGAAAGCCUGAUCCAGCAAUGCCGCGUGAGUGAAGAAGGCCUUCGGGUUGUAAAGCUCUUUUGUCAGGGAAGAAACGGUGUGGGCUAAUAUCCCGCACUAAUGACGGUACCUGAAGAAUAAGCACCGGCUAACUACGUGCCAGCAGCCGCGGUAAUACGUAGGGUGCAAGCGUUAAUCGGAAUUACUGGGCGUAAAGCGUGCGCAGGCGGUUUUGUAAGUCUGUCGUGAAAUCCCCGGGCUCAACCUGGGAAUUGCGAUGGAGACUGCAAGGCUAGAAUCUGGCAGAGGGGGGUAGAAUUCCACGUAGCAGUGAAAUGCGUAGAGAUGUGGAGGAACACCGAUGGCGAAGGCAGCCCCCUGGGUCAAGAUUGACGCUCAUGCACGAAAGCGUGGGGAGCAAACAGGAUUAGAUACCCUAGUAGUCC
rnacentral:rRNA from 1 species